GACAGAGGCCCCGAGCGUUAGUCGGAAUUACUGGGCUUAAAGGGUGCGUAGGCGGACUCGUAAGUGUCGUGUGAAAGCCCACUGCUUAACGGUGGAACUGCACGGCAAACUGCAAGUCUCGAGGAAUCUAGAGGUCGCUGGAACGCUUGGUGGAGCGGUGGAAUGCGUAGAUAUCAAGCGGAACGCCGAAGGUGAAGACAGGCGACUAGGGAUUUCCUGACGCUGAGGCACGAAAGCGUGGGGAGCAAACAGG
rnacentral:rRNA from 1 species